UCUGAUGCCUUUUUUUCUUUUUUUUUUUUUUUUUUUGACAUGGUGUUUUGAGAUGGUGUUUCCUCAGACUGGCCCUGAACUCUUGAGCUAAUGUGAUCCUCCUGCUUCAGCCUCCUGAGUAACUGAAACAAUAGUUGGGCACCACUCCACCACUUUCUCAAGGCCAUAUACUAGGGAAGAGGGAUUAUGAGAUUGAGAUGCAAAUUCUGAGUACCAAAACUUAGGGUCAAUAGCCUUCUCACAUCCACUUCCUGAGACAUUAUUUCCUCAGACCUCUAGUCUCGGUAACACUUCACCUCUUCCCCUGGCCCUCUGUUCUUCCCAACUGCAUGAGAACACCCUUUUUCUCAGCAUUUCAGACUGGGAUGUGUGUGGAGGGGAUCCAUGUGUGUGUGUCCAUGACAGUAUGGUAAAGGUGCCAGGUCUGUGCUCCAAUUUUCCCUGGAUAACAAAAGCACACUGGGCUUCUGUAAGACUCUUAUUAAGAAAGGAUCUGAGAAUGAAGUCUCCUUUCUGUUUUGGUGAUAAGUGCUCUCACUCUGUUGCCUAGGUUUCAUUGUUUCCCGCCCAGAUGCUGGAGCCCAAUACCUGGGCUCAGGUGAUCUUUCCACUCAGCCACCUAAGCAGCUGGGACUAUAGGUGUGUACCAGUGUGUACCAGACUAUAGCUGUGCUCUGAAGGAAGCAUUGGGGGAGGCUAAAGGGGAAGGCUAGAUUGAUAAAGAUUAGCACCUUUCUGAACACUUGCCCUCAGCAGUGAGCAGAAACACUGUGGGAGCACCAGACCUUUGGUCUUACUCAUAGCUAGGGAAGUUCUGAGGUGUGAUGGGGAAACCCAAAAGUAAUGUGUGGCAGUCCAGUGAGAUUGUGUGUUUACUAAGGGCUCCAUUACAGAUACCUGGCCUAGGCCUACCUGCUGUACUGCUCUCCCAGGAGAUAGAGGACAAGUUAGACUGAAUAUAGAAUAUCUGGUCAGACAUUCUUUCUCCAUCAACCAGACACUUUGGUGUCUUGUAGAGAACUGGUAGAGAAGAUUCCUAGCGUUAACCUGCCAUGGAGACUGAGGCUGUGAUGUCAUCACUACUCAGGUCACAGAAGGAAUGUGUGACUUGAGGGGUAGGUGACGAUUCUUGGUAUGUUAUGGAAAGCCGGGAGAAAGGAGAGAUCUCUGCUUGCACACCCCCUCUAGCUUCUCCCCCCAUAGUCAGAUAGCCACUCUCUGUGGAGCACAGCCCAGACCACAGAGGGGCAAGCGAAACCCAGAUUCUGAAACUGGCCUGACAGUCAUGAUUAACAUAGACAGCUAGGUUGCAUGACCCUGAUACUAAGUAUUUUCCUGUUGGAGAGGCAGAGAUUUGAGUACAUUAGGGGGUCAGGGAAUGCUCCUUGGAUGUGAGCCUGAACAUAAGAUUUGGGUUGGGCGCAGUAACCCAUUCCUGUAAUUCCAAUGGCUUGGGAGGCUGAGGCAGGAAAUUUUUGAGUUCAAAGCCAGCCUCAUCAAUUUAGCAAGUCCCUGAGCAACUCACUGAGACCCUGCCUCUAAAUAAAAUAGGAAGAAAGUGCUGGGGUUAUGCCACACUUGGUUGAUGCCUCUGAGAUCAAUCCCCAGUAUCAGAAAAAAAAAAAAAGAAAGAAAAUUUGGACAUGUGGAAAAACAUUCACAUUGGGAAAAAAAGCAAAGACCGGGUCCUUUUAAUCUCAUUCUGCUCCAAAGAUUUAUCCUUUGAUGCAUUGGAGAUGUGUGGCCGGCCGUUCCUUUGAUCCUGAGCAAUACACACAUCUUUCUGAACACACACCCAGAGAAAUGCACCAUGACCUUCUUACAAGUGAGAUCUCAAAAAAGAGGCUAAGGGGCCUACACAAGGUCACACAGGUAAUACAGAGGUGUUCUGCUCAACAAUAGGGUUGUUCAUGUUGAGGUUCCAGAUUUAUAGCCGAUAGGACAAACUUGUCACAUUUCAGUGUGAUGGACACAGCAAUGGUUGUUAUAGGUGCUCCAAGGCAACAGGAGACGUCUCCAGUGACUUUGUUACAAAGUAGGAAUGAUAGAUCUAUUUUAACAUAAAAUUUGAUAUGUGAUUAUGGCAAAAUUACCGUAUUAUCAUUUCAGUCUCCUUUCUUUAAAAAAGGCAAACAACCCAUGUGGUCAUGUAGCCCCGUAAUCCCAGCAACUCAGGAGGCUUAAGCAGGAGGACCACAAGUUUGAGGUCAGCCUCAACGAUUUAGUGAGACUUUUUCAAAAUAAAAAAUUAAAAGGUGUGCAUGGUGCCAGGGACAUGCCUGUAAUCUCAGCAGCUCCAGAGGCUGAAGCAGGAGAAUUAUAAAUUCAUAGCCAGCCUCCGGAAAAAUGAGGCGGAGUGCAACUCAUUGAGACCCUAUCUCUAAAUAAAAUAAAUACAAAAUAGGGCUGGGGAUGUUCUGUUUGAUGGACAUUUGUCUGUGUAUAUUUCUUUGAUAUGAAUUAAAAGUCUUAAGAGAAAAA